UUUAUUAAUUCUAUUGUAAUUUUUCCCAAAAUUGUUGGUAUGUUUGUUUAUUGAUUCAUGCUGUCAUUGUACAAGAUCUUUAUCAAGUCAAGGAACAAAGAAACCUUUAUCUCCAAAUUAUCCUCACUGUAACAUAAAAUAGAAUGAAAAAAAACUUCUGUCCAAAGAAAAAAUAUUAAAAUAAAAACUUUGCUAUGAUUUUAAA